UUCUCCAAAUAGAAAUCCAAAAAGCAACCACAUUCCACUCUCUCACCAUCAGAGCAAAGCACAAAACAAAAACAAAAGAAAGGAAGGCCAAGCUAGAAAAAAAACAAGAGAAAAGAAAUGUUGAGAAGGCUUCACUUGCACUCCACUCACAAAACAAUCCCAGCUCUGAGACUCACUGCACUCUUCUUUCUCUUCCUUUCUCUCAGUAACUAUGGCAACUUAGUCAAAGCUUAUGUUUUCAUCUAUGCAGGCUGCUCUCAAGAAAAGUAUGAUCCCAACUCUCCAUUUGAAGGAAACCACAACUCGAUUCUGUCUUCAGUUUUUAGCUCAUCUUCUGAAGCUUCUUAUCAUAGCUUUGCCAUUGGAAAUGGAAGCUCAACACCCCCCGAAGGAAUUUGCUAUGGCUUAUACCAGUGCAGGGGUGAUUUGAGGACUAUUGAUUGUUCAAGAUGCAUUGAAAGUGCUGUUAACCAGAUAAGUUUGGUUUGUCCAUACUCUUAUGGUGCUGCUUUGCAACUUGAAGGUUGCUAUGUAAGAUAUGAGCAUGUUGAUUUCUUGGGAAGGCUUGAUACGAGCCUGAGAUUCAAGAAGUGCAGUAGAAGUGUAAACAAUGAUGUUGAGUUCUUUAAGCGUAGAGAUGAUGUUCUUGCUGACUUGCCAACAGCUAUGGGAUUUAAAGUUAGUAGUUCAGGUUCAGUAGAAGGUUAUGCACAGUGUUUAGGGGAUUUGAGCUCAAGUGAUUGUUCUGCUUGCCUCGUGGCUGCGGUUGCGCAGUUGAAGAAUCUAUGUGGAUCAGCUGCUGCAGCUGAUGUGUACCUGGGUCAGUGCUAUGCUCGUUACUGGGCAUCUGGUUACUAUGAUCGCUCUUCAGGUUUGCUCCAUGCUUCCUCUUUUCUUCAUGUGAUUCUAAAAGUAGAAAGGUGCCCUAUUUUUUCACUAAACACAAAGAUUCCUCCAGCGAGGAUGAUGUGGGAAAAACAGUAGCCAUUAUUGUUGGUGUGCUAGCAGGUCUGUCCAUCCUCAUCGUUUUCCUCUCAUUUUGCAGAAGAGCUAUGGAUUAAGAAGAGUAAAGCACAGACAUCUCGCAAAUUAUUGAAGGGUAGCCAUGUGGAAGCUAGGUCCCUAUAUCGUUUUGUUUAAUAUUUCUGUGAGAGAUCCGUUUUUUACUUUUGUCCUUUCAAAUGUAAUGAAUUUUGACACAAAAAAAAGUUGGUGUUAUCCUCUGGUGUAAAGUAACACUAACCUCAAUCAACUUUAAAAGAGCUGCUGAUUCCCUUCUCUUCA